UAGAAGGAAAAGGUCUCAUAGAAGUUUUGAUUGUAUAUGAUUCAUAGUACGUUGUAACUUGGCCUUCUUUGCUUAUUUUGGAUUUUCAUUAGUCCCUAUCAUGAAGACAGUGUCUAGGUCUUAAGUUCAUAACCUACUAAUCCUAUCCUCUCAGCUUUUCGGUUAUCUUCAGUCUCUUCUUCAUUCUGCGUUUAGCCUUAAUUAUGGUUAUCAUGUUAUUCCUUUGGGAAACUGAGUUUUGAGAUACAGCAAAUUUUAUUUAUAACUUUUAUUCUUUUAUGGCUUUACUAUUUGCGAUGAACAUGCAAGUUCCAACAUCUGAGAUCUACCAAUCUGUCAUGGCUCAAUGGCUCAUGGCUGGGUUAGUAUCACCGCUCCAAUUUUCAUGCUUUUGAUUGAAUCAUUUCAAAUUUCAAAUAGUUGAUACAUGAAAGUGACAGAACACUAAUUGAAAAGAGAAAAGAAAAUGUUUAAAAAAUCUUUGUUGCUCCCAACACGCUUCCAUUUCUCUGUUGGAUCUCUGCACCGGUUAAACCCUUCUCUCUUUUUUCAUUCCCUUUCUUAUUUUGUGUCUCCCUCUUCUCUUCCUCUCUAAUCAACAAAGAAGUUCACUCAAAUAAAUUAAUUUAGUUUGACUCUUCUAUAUGUGUGUUGUAUCUUAAAUGUUAAUUUUGUUUUCUAUCUAUUCCAGUUCUGUUUCUCUAAGUCAAAUGAGGAGAUGCAGUUUGUUGCAGGGUACUCUCCUCCUUCUGAAAGCAUGUUUUCCCGUUUCUCUUCCUGCGUCCAAAUGCAAACCCUACACAUCUUCAAACCCUGAAACUAAGUACAAUCUUUUCCUUCAUGCUAACUCCAUUUUGCAGCCGAUCCAACUACUUGAUGUACACUUCCUUCAAGGUUGCAAUAAUGAAACGUGUUCGGCACCCAAAUGUGGUGCUCUUCAUGGGUGCAGUUACGAAAUGUCCCCAUCUAUCAAUAGUGACAGAGUAUUUGCCUAGGGGUAGUUUAUAUCGUCUGAUACAUAGGCCGGCAUCUGGUGAAAUACUGGACCACAGAAGAAGAUUACGGGUGGCUUUGGAUGUGGCUAAAGGGAUCAAUUAUCUCCAUUGCCUGAAACCUCCAAUUGUGCACUGGGAUCUCAAAUCUCCAAAUUUGCUAGUUGACAAAAAUUGGACAGUGAAGGUUUGUGAUUUUGGAUUGUCCAGAUUUAAGGCAAACACUUUCAUACCGUCAAAAUUUGUUGCUGGAACACCUGAGUGGAUGGCUCCAGAAUUUCAUCGUGGAGAACCUUCAAAUGAGAAAUCUGAUGUAUACAGUUUUGGAGUAAUCUUGUGGGAACUCGUGACCAUGCAACAACCAUGGAGUGGACUUUCGCCCUCCACAGAGAAGAUUUGCAGCAAUUUAUGUAUUUGUUUCAUUCUGCUCCCCUAUAAGCAUUGCUAUGGUGUCUGCACAUGUUAAAGAAAUCAAGGUUUACAUUAUGUGGCCUCUCCUGAGGGUAGCGAGUGAGUAAGUUGUCCUUGCUUCUAUUGAAACAUUUCUGGGCUCCCCACCCCAGCAAGUCCCUAAAAUAUUCCCAUUUCAAACAAGAGAGUGAAGCAAACAAGUUUUGAUACUAUUUGAAUGUCACUGUAAACAAGUUGCAUGGCCUCAACCUUUUGAAGCUCACACCUGGGCCACCUUGAAGGAACUAGCAAACCCAGACACGCACUCUCUUCUUCCAAUUCUGGUUCCACUGUUGUUUAGAUUUCUAUUUUUAUUUUUUUAUCCUGCUUUACUAGAGGCUAUGAAGCAAUAGAAAUUAGUAGUAAGUUUUGAAAAUAUAGUCUUGACGAACCUGAGGCACUUUUGGACAAGCAAGUUCAAGAGCACACUAAAUCGGAUGAAGCAUCUUAAGGAUGUAAAAGAUGUCGAGGCUGGACUCUUGCAGUCAGAAUUGGAAGCCCUUAAAGCUCAAUACAGUGAUUUUAAACACUCUUUUUGAGGAUGAGGCUGAGAAAGAAAAACUAAGAAAGCAAGUUUUCCAGCUAAAGGGUGAACUAAAGAAGAAGGACGAUGCAUUGACCAGUUUCGAGAAAAGGUUCAGGGAUAGUAAUGGACGCACACAAGUUACUGAUGGAGCUAAAACCAUUCUAAAGAAUAAAAAGACUGCUUUAAGUCCUCAGCAUUCAAGAGAAAUAGCAAGUCUGAGGGAGAAAAUAAAAACGCUUGAGGGUAAGAUACAGUCAAAGGACAAUGCCCUGGAAACUUCCACAACUUCAUUUCUGGAAAAGGAAAAUGAACCCCAGACCAAAAUUGCGGAGCUAGAGCGCAAAGUAAAGGAAUUAAAUCAGAGUAUUGCUUCACAUUAGGUUGCUCAGGAUAGAAGUAAUACUAUUACAAAUGAGAUAUCUGGAGAAAUUAGUGCAGGGGAGCAUCUGAAUGAUGCUGCAUAUGGUUUUGAAGAAAGUGGGGCUGCGUUGUUACUCAAGAGUAAUGUGAACCUGCAAGAGAAAGAAGCAUGAACCUCUUUAAUGGAUACUGCAGACAGCAAUCUUAAUGCACAUUAACCAACUUGUCAUCACUGAAAGAAAGAAACAAAUCAAUGGAAAGCGAACUUAAAGAAGAACAGUCAACAGUCAAUUGUUUGCAAGACAAGAAGAAAAUGCACUUGAUUUAGAACACAAACCUUUAGCUUCAAAUGUUUGAUCAUUUUAAUGGUACUAAUAAUGUUUGGUGGUUUUAGCUAAUAAGUUCUUUGUGAAUCUUAUGGAUAGUGCUACUAAUACUUAUUUUCAAGUGGUUGUAGAUGUUGAUUAUGAUUAUUGUUGGAUUGACUUGUGAUUCCCGUGCAUGCUUCUUUGGUCCAAGUCCAACACAUGUUGCAAACUGCUAUUUGACUUUUUUGUGCUUUCA